ACGGGUGAGUAAUAUAUCGGAACGUGCCCAGUUGUGGGGGAUAGCCCGGCGAAAGCCGGAUUAAUACCGCAUACGACCUGAGGGUGAAAGCGGGGGAUCGCAAGACCUCGCGCAAUUGGAGCGGCCGAUAUCAGAUUAGCUAGUUGGUGGGGUAAAGGCCUACCAAGGCGACGAUCUGUAGCUGGUCUGAGAGGACGACCAGCCACACUGGGACUGAGACACGGCCCAGACUCCUACGGGAGGCAGCAGUGGGGAAUUUUGGACAAUGGGCGCAAGCCUGAUCCAGCCAUGCCGCGUGCGGGAAGAAGGCCUUCGGGUUGUAAACCGCUUUUGUCAGGGAAGAAACGGUCUGAACUAAUACUUUGGACUAAUGACGGUACCUGAAGAAUAAGCACCGGCUAACUACGUGCCAGCAGCCGCGGUAAUACGUAGGGUGCAAGCGUUAAUCGGAAUUACUGGGCGUAAAGCGUGCGCAGGCGGCUAUGCAAGACAGAUGUGAAAUCCCCGGGCUCAACCUGGGAACUGCAUUUGUGACUGCAUGGCUAGAGUACGGUAGAGGGGGGAUGGAAUUCCGCGUGUAGC
rnacentral:rRNA from 1 species